AGGAAUCUGCCUAUUAGUGGGGGACAACAUUUCGAAAGGAAUGCUAAUACCGCAUACGUCCUACGGGAGAAAGCAGGGGAUCUUCGGACCUUGCGCUAAUAGAUGAGCCUAAGUCGGAUUAGCUAGUUGGUGGGGUAAAGGCCUACCAAGGCGACGAUCUGUAGCGGGUCUGAGAGGAUGAUCCGCCACACUGGGACUGAGACACGGCCCAGACUCCUACGGGAGGCAGCAGUGGGGAAUAUUGGACAAUGGGCGCAAGCCUGAUCCAGCCGUGCCGCGUGUGUGAAGAAGGCCUUAUGGUUGUAAAGCACUUUAAGCGAGGAGGAGGCUACUGAAGUUAAUACCUUCAGAUAGUGGACGUUACUCGCAGAAUAAGCACCGGCUAACUCUGUGCCAGCAGCCGCGGUAAUACAGAGGGUGCAAGCGUUAAUCGGAUUUACUGGGCGUAAAACGCGCGUAGGCGGCUAAUUAAGUCAAAUGUGAAAUCCCCGAGCUUAACUUGGGAAUUGCAUUCGAUACUGGUUAGCUAGAGUGUGGGAGAGGAUGGUAGAAUUCCAGGU
rnacentral:rRNA from 1 species